UGGGGAAUAUUGCACAAUGGGCGAAAGCCUGAUGCAGCAACGCCGCGUGAGUGAUGAAGGCCUUCGGGUUGUAAAGCUCUGUCUUUUGGGACGAUAAUGACGGUACCAAAGGAGGAAGCCACGGCUAACUACGUGCCAGCAGCCGCGGUAAUACGUAAGUGGCAAGCGUUGUCCGGAUUUACUGGGCGUAAAGGAUGCGUAGGCGGAUUUUUAAGUGAGAUGUGAAAUACCCGGGCUUAACUUGGGUGCUGCAUUUCAAACUGGGAAUCUAGAGUGCGGGAGAGGAGAAUGGAAUUCCUAGUGUAGCGGUGAAAUGCGUAGAGAUUAGGAAGAACACCAGUGGCGAAGGCGAUUCUCUGGACCGUAACUGACGCUGAGGCAUGAAAGCGUGGGUAGCAAACAGGAUUAGAUACCCUGGUAGUCCACGCCGUAAACGAUGAGUACUAGGUGUAGGAGGUAUCGACCCCUUCUGUGCCGCAGUUAACACAAUAAGUACUCCGCCUGGGAAGUACGAUCGCAAGAUUAAAACUUAAAUGAAUUGACGGGGGUCAUAGCUGUUUUCCU
rnacentral:rRNA from 1 species